UCCUCCGUGGCGCAAUUGGCUAGCGCGUCUGACUGUUAAUCAGGAGGUUCGUGGUUCGAGCCCACGCGGGGGAG